rnacentral:rRNA from 1 species
GAUGAACGCUGGCGGCGUGCCUAAUACAUGCAAGUCGAGCGAACAGACGAGGAGCUUGCUCCUCUGACGUUAGCGGCGGACGGGUGAGUAACACGUGGAUAACCUACCUAUAAGACUGGGAUAACUUCGGGAAACCGGAGCUAAUACCGGAUAAUAUAUUGAACCGCAUGGUUCAAAAGUGAAAGACGGUUUUGCUGUCACUUAUAGAUGGAUCCGUGCCGCAUUAGCUAGUUGGUAAGGUAACGGCUUACCAAGGCGACGAUGCGUAGCCGACCUGAGAGGGUGAUCGGCCACACUGGAACUGAGACACGGUCCAGACUCCUACGGGAGGCAGCAGUAGGGAAUCUUCCGCAAUGGGCGAAAGCCUGACGGAGCAACGCCGCGUGAGUGAUGAAGGUCUUCGGAUCGUAAAACUCUGUUAUUAGGGAAGAACAAAUGUGUAAGUAACUAUGCACGUCUUGACGGUACCUAAUCAGAAAGCCACGGCUAACUACGUG